CGAACCGUCCAAACGUUAUUCGGAAUCACUGGGCUUAAAGAGUCCGUAGGCGGCUCAGAAAGUAGGGUGUGAAAUCCCACGGCUCAACCGUGGUACUGCGCUCUAAACUACUGAGCUUGAGGGAGCUAGAGGUAAGCGGAACUGAUGGUGGAGCGGUGAAAUGCGUUGAUAUCAUCAGGAACACCGGAGGCGAAGGCGGCUUACUGGGGCUUUUCUGACGCUGAGGGACGAAAGCUAGGGUAGCGAACGGGAUUAGAUACCCCGGUAGUCCUAGCCGUAAACGAUGAGCACUGGGCCGGAGGACUGCACAGUUUUCCGGCCGUAGCGAAAGUGUUAAGUGCUCCGCCUGGGGACGUAUGGUCGCAAGGCUG
rnacentral:rRNA from 1 species